UACGUAGGGGGCAAGCGUUGUCCGGAAUCAUUGGGCGUAAAGAGCGCGUAGGCGGUCCGGUAAGUCGGUUGUGAAAACUGGGGGCUCAACCCUCAGAGGCCGACCGAUACUGCCGGGCUAGAGUCCGGAAGAGGCGAGUGGAAUUCCUGGUGUAGCGGUGAAAUGCGCAGAUAUCAGGAGGAACACCAACGGCGAAGGCAGCUCGCUGGGACGGUACUGACGCUGAGGCGCGAAAGCGUGGGGAGCGAACGGG
rnacentral:rRNA from 1 species